rnacentral:rRNA from 1 species
UGGGGAAUAUUGCACAAUGGGCGAAAGCCUGAUGCAGCAACGCCGCGUGAGUGAUGAAGGUCUUCGGAUUGUAAAGCUCUGUCUUUUGGGACGAUAAUGACGGUACCAAAGGAGGAAGCCACGGCUAACUACGUGCCAGCAGCCGCGGUAAUACGUAGGUGGCGAGCGUUGUCCGGAUUUACUGGGCGUAAAGGGUGCGUAGGCGGAUGUUUAAGUGAGAUGUGAAAUACCCGGGCUUAACUUGGGUGCUGCAUUUCAAACUGGAUAUCUAGAGUGCAGGAGAGGAGAAUGGAAUUCCCAGUGUAGCGGUGAAAUGCGUAGAGAUUAGGAAGAACACCAGUGGCGAAGGCGAUUCUCUGGACUGUAACUGACGCUGAGGCACGAAAGCGUGGGUAGCAAACAGGAUUAGAUACCCUGGUAGUCCACGCCGUAAACGAUGAGUACUAGGUGUAGGAGGUAUCGACCCCUUCUGUGCCGCAGUAAACACAUUAAGUACUCCGCCUGGGAAGUACGAUCGCAAGAUUAAAACUCUAAAGUGAAUU